rnacentral:rRNA from 1 species
CGAGCGGCGGACGGGUGAGUAAUGCUUGGGAACAUGCCUUGAGGUGGGGGACAACAGUUGGAAACGACUGCUAAUACCGCAUAAUGUCUACGGACCAAAGGGGGCUUCGGCUCUCGCCUUUAGAUUGGCCCAAGUGGGAUUAGCUAGUUGGUGAGGUAAUGGCUCACCAAGGCAACGAUCCCUAGCUGGUUUGAGAGGAUGAUCAGCCACACUGGGACUGAGACACGGCCCAGACUCCUACGGGAGGCAGCAGUGGGGAAUAUUGCACAAUGGGCGCAAGCCUGAUGCAGCCAUGCCGCGUGUGUGAAGAAGGCCUUCGGGUUGUAAAGCACUUUCAGUCAGGAGGAAAGGUUAGUAGUUAAUACCUGCUAGCUGUGACGUUACUGACAGAAGAAGCACCGGCUAACUCCGUGCCAGCAGCCGCGGUAAUACGGAGGGUGCGAGCGUUAAUCGGAAUUACUGGGCGUAAAGCGUACGCAGGCGGUUUGUUAAGCGAGAUGU